UGCUUAUCCACGACAGGUAGCCGGCUGU
rnacentral:piRNA from 1 species